rnacentral:rRNA from 1 species
CAGCAGCCACGGUAAUACGUAGGGUGCAAGCGUUAAUCGGAAUUACUGGGCGUAAAGCGUGCGCAGGCGGUUAUAUAAGUCAGACGUGAAAUCCCCGGGCUCAACCUGGGAACUGCAUUUGAGACUGUAUGGCUAGAGUGUGUCAGAGGGGGGUAGAAUUCCACGUGUAGCAGUGAAAUGCGUAGAUAUGUGGAGGAAUACCGAUGGCGAAGGCAGCCCCCUGGGAUAACACUGACGCUCAUGCACGAAAGCGUGGGGAGCAAACAGGAUUAGAUACCCCUGUAGUCCCUGUCUCUUAUAC